AAACGCCACCACAACUCCACCUACAUCCACACCUCCAGCUACAUCCACAACUCCAUCUACAUCCACCUCUGCUGCUGUUCUCUCUGUGUUGUCAUUUGUUGGAUCAUUCUUUUUUGUGCUUCUACUGGUGUUACUGGUUCUGCUGGUGAGACGAUAUGUUCACAGGAAACUCGAAGAGAGUGAAGCAGCUGCAGUUGAUUCAUCUGUGAGAACUGAAUAUGUCAGUUAUUUACCAAACACCAUCAGAACAUGGUCCAGACUUUAAACCAGAGCCAGAUGUCGUCUACUCUUCACUGAAGUAGUACACCAGUCCAACCACUGAUGUCCAGCUGCUGGCCUCUAACUGGUCCCCCCAGCACCUCAGACCAGAGGACAUCCACAUGCUAACAAGACUUCUGUGGGUUUCACAAAGGGAAAACUGGACUUCUGGUUUGGUUCUGGCCUAACAACACACACGUUUCUUAACUGAAGAAAACAAAGAAUAAAGAUUAAACCACAACCUCAGCCUAAAAAAAAAGCCAGAGCAUCAAUCAGUGUCUUUAAACCUUCAUUUAUUUGUGUUUGAGACUGAAGAGUUUUGCCUCUUUGUUUCCUCAGUCAGCUAGAAACCAACCAGCAGCCACUGGCAUGGUGAAAAAGUUUUAUAACUGUUUCACUUAUUUAUUUGUAUCACUUUCACCUCUUCUUAAAGUCAAUAAAGAGUUGUUUUUUUU
ensembl:lncRNA